CUUGCUUAGAGGUAGUGCCACUAACAAAGAAUUCAGACAUGGUGUUGUUAGAUGCCUCAAGAGGCGAAAUGAGCACCUCAUCAAACUCUGACGAAGGGAGUUUGGAAGAAAAUGAUUUCCCCAAAUUUGAAGAAAACUCUGAAGGGGGCAAUUAGAGCAGUGAAGGAAUUGACAAGGAAGGAAAAACAAAAGCAAGUUCGGAGAAGAGAGAAAGCCCAGAAGACCACAGCACCGAAUCUAAAAAUUUGGGAGUAAUAGGACAUGAAGGUGAAGCCGUGGACAGCGAUGACAAAGAAAAUGCUUUGGCCUCUGAUGGUAACAAGUGUGAGGCUAGUUUUGAAAGAAAAAUAUUUCGCAAGCGGGAGACAAAUGAAAUUACUAAAAAGGUUAACCAAACACAGGACAAAAAAUUGAAAGAAGGGCUCAUUAUAGAUACCACUGGUGCUCAAGGGGUGAAGUAUAAAAAACCAAAACCCACAAAUCCCAAGCCUUUCAGGAAGGACUGAUGUAAGCCGUGUUUUUCCCAAAUUAAAUUAUGUACAAAAAAAAUAUGUUCUUGCUUGUCACAUGUAAUAGAACUGAUGAUUUUUUAGGAGAGAGGAAUUCUUAACGAAGCAAACUUGGAGAGGAAAAUGCAAGCACUAGUUCCUCGUAAGGAAAUUGUAGCAGCCUCAACGCUCCCAGGCAGAAGUUUGCACAAAAAGCAUGGGAAUGAAAUCCAAAGAAAUGAGAAGUGCCUCGAACAAAGAAAGUGCAAUCACGAUACAAGUGAAAG